rnacentral:rRNA from 1 species
AAUAGAUACCCGGGUAGUCCACGCCGUAAACGAUGGAUACUAGCUGUUGGAGGUAUCGACCCCUUCAGUAGCGAAGCUAACGCGUUAAGUAUCCCGCCUGUGGAGUACGGUCGCAAGACUAAAACAUAAAGGAAUUGACGGGGACCCGCACAAGCGGUGGAGCGUGUUCUUUAAUUCGAUGAUAAACGAAGAACCUUACCAGGACUUGACAUCCCGAGAAUUUUGCCGAAAGGCGAGAGUGCUUUAUUGAACUCGGUGACAGGUGCUGCAUGGCCGUCGUCAGCUCGUGUCGUGAGAUGUUCGGUUAAGUCCAUUAACGAGCGCAACCCUUAUGAAUAGUUGGAUUUUUCUAUUCAGACUGCCCCGGUAGCGGGAGGAAGGAGGGAUGAUGUCAGGUCAGUAUUGCCCUUAUGUCCUGGGCUAGAAACGCGCUACAAUGGCUAGUACAAUGCGCAGCGAAGUCGCGAGAUGGAGCAAAUCGCAUCAAAGCUAGUCUCAGUUCGGAUAAGAGGCUGAAACUCGCCUCUUGAACG